rnacentral:rRNA from 1 species
AACCUCCUUCGGGAGGGGAUUAGUGGCGAACGGGUGAGUAACACGUGGGCAAUCUGCCCUUCACUCUGGGACAAGCCCUGGAAACGGGGUCUAAUACCGGAUAACACUGCGGAUCGCAUGGUCUGCGGUUAAAAGCUCCGGCGGUGAAGGAUGAGCCCGCGGCCUAUCAGCUAGUUGGUGGGGUAAUGGCCUACCAAGGCGACGACGGGUAGCCGGCCUGAGAGGGCGACCGGCCACACUGGGACUGAGACACGGCCCAGACUCCUACGGGAGGCAGCAGUGGGGAAUAUUGCACAAUGGGCGAAAGCCUGAUGCAGCGACGCCGCGUGAGGGAUGACGGCCUUCGGGUUGUAAACCUCUUUCAGCAGGGAAGAAGCGAAAGUGACGGUACCUGCAGAAGAAGCGCCGGCUAACUACGUGCCAGCAGCCGCGGUAAUACGUAGGGCGCAAGCGUUGUCCGGAAUUAUUGGGCGUAAAGAGCUCGUAGGCGGCUUGUCACGUCGGAUGUGAAAGCCCGGGGCUUAACCCCGGGUCUGCAUUCGAUACGGGCAGGCUAGAGUGUGGUAGGGGAGAUCGGAAUUCCUGGUGUAGCG